UGGGGAAUAUUGCACAAUGGACGGAAGUCUGAUGCAGCAACGCCGCGUGCGGGAUGACGGCCUUCGGGUUGUAAACCGCUUUCAUCCAUGACGAAGCGAGAGUGACGGUAGUGGGAGAAGAAGCACCGGCUAACUACGUGCCAGCAGCCGCGGUGAUACGUAGGGUGCGAGCGUUGUCCGGAUUUAUUGGGCGUAAAGAGCUUGUAGGCGGUUUGUUGCGUCGGAAGUGAAAACUCAGGGCUUAACUCUGAGCCUGCUUUCGAUACGGGCAGACUUGAGGAAGGUAGGGGAGAAUGGAAUUCCUGGUGAAGCGGUGGAAUGCGUAGAUAUCAGGAGGAACACCGGUGGCGAAGGCGGUUCUCUGGACCUUUCCUGACGCUGAGGCUCGAAAGUGUGGGGAGCAAACA
rnacentral:rRNA from 1 species